rnacentral:misc_RNA from 1 species
AACGCAUAUUGCGCCCCACGGCCUCGGCCCAGGGCAUGUCUGCCUUAGCGUCUGUUUACCCCCUCUCCCCCCUCUCACAUACUGUGAGAUCGGGAAGGUUGUGGUCUUGUGCUGCGGCACUUGGCCGAAAUUCAGUGACACUGCAGGGACCGUUAAUCGGACUCCAGCUUGGUAGGCUUUUCCCUCGUGGAAUUAUGCAUGCCGCUGUUGGCCGUGGACCACUGCAGCCGUCAAGCAGGGAAACCUUUCAACUUUAGACCUGAGGUCAGGCAAGACCACCCGCUGAACUUAA